rnacentral:rRNA from 1 species
UCGAGCGGAACGAGUUAUCUGAACCUUCGGGGGACGAUAACGGCGUCGAGCGGCGGACGGGUGAGUAAUGCCUAGGAAAUUGCCCUGAUGUGGGGGAUAACCAUUGGAAACGAUGGCUAAUACCGCAUGAUGCCUACGGGCCAAAGAGGGGGACCUUCGGGCCUCUCGCGUCAGGAUAUGCCUAGGUGGGAUUAGCUAGUUGGUGAGGUAAGGGCUCACCAAGGCGACGAUCCCUAGCUGGUCUGAGAGGAUGAUCAGCCACACUGGAACUGAGACACGGUCCAGACUCCUACGGGAGGCAGCAGUGGGGAAUAUUGCACAAUGGGCGCAAGCCUGAUGCAGCCAUGCCGCGUGUAUGAAGAAGGCCUUCGGGUUGUAAAGUACUUUCAGUCGUGAGGAAGGGGGUGUCGUUAAUAGCAGCUUCG